CAUAAUUCUAAUACAACACACACUCACCCUUCUUUCCUCACAAUAGCCACACCCUCUCGCCUUUUCCCCCUCUCAAACGCACACCCACACACAAAACACCAACACAUACACACGAAGAACACUUGCCCAAGGAAGGGGAGGGAGACUGAUGCCAUCGCCACGCCUCCAUCGCGCUUCACCACCGUCAAACCUCGUCACCGCUGCUGAGCCGCCAUCAGAAACAGAACCGCAAAGAGAGAGAGAGCCGUUGAGACAUGGGUGAGAGACACGGGGAGAGACAGAACUCGCACCGGCUACACCGUCACACCCUACCCGCGUCGUCGUUGCCAGCUUCGUCAUAUCUCCGGCGCCAAACUCGUCAUUACUGCCACCGUGGAAUCGCGAACGGAAGAAACGCCAGAGGGAGCCGUCACGGAGUUGCCUUCGCUAUCGAAUUGCUGGAUUCGUUAUCAUCGCAUUUGUGUUGCUGUGGUGCCGUCAUUCAUCAUUGCUCAGUCAUUGCCGAAGCUUCGCGUUGCCGUUCUAACUGCCGAAAAUCGCUGCUGGAACCCCUGUCUACUUAGGUCAAGUUCCAGUUCUUACAUGUUGAGAUUUAUGGUUAUUGCAUGAGACAUCAAGCUGUUGCGUCAUCACUGGAGUUGCCGCUGCUCUGUUUUCUCGGUUAUUCAUAAGUCCGGGUUGAGUUUUUGAGGUUGUAUGUAACGAUUAGAGUUGUUGCGGAAGUGGAAUGGAGCUGUGGUUGUGGCUGCCGCUGUUACAGGUCGAGAAAAAGGGAUUUUUGACACGCUGUAUAGCUUUUGAAUUUCGACUAUUCGAGGCCGGAGGCCGAGUUGAUUUGAUUUGGGUCGGAGGUCAUGAUUGGUUGGAUCAGUGGUAAGUUUUGGUUAAAAUAGUUUCUUAGUAAGCGGUAAAAUGUAUGGAAUGUUAUUUUGCGUAAAAAAUUUUAUAAGAAAUAUGAGUUUUAGAUUUGGAUAAUGAACUAAUGAUCAUUACGACUGAAAUUAGUUUUAUUUAAAAUAUCUUCUUAUAACAAUUUUUAAACCCUCUACUGAGAACCAGGGAGGACGAUAUUCUCACCCCCUUACAGACUUCUCUUUUUAGGAUGGACGAGGAAGCUGAUGAAGUUUUUGCUAAGUCCUUAGCUGUACUGUUAAUAUAUUUGUCAUAAUUUUUUCCUCGCCUUUGUCAUUAUAAUUUUGUAAGAGGGAUAGGAGUUGUAUGUUUUGUAUGUAUAUAAUAUGUAUAAGAUACUUGUGUAAGGAGUUUUGUAUAUAUGUAUAUGCAUGUUGGUAAAUAUUUAAAAGUAUUUUCAAUUUUUUUUCAAGAAAAUAACAAUACUGUUUCGAGUUAAAGGCUCAUAUCUUAUUAUUAAAUAUAUGGAAGCCGUUGUAAUAUUCUCGCUAUCAGAGUGGACCAGCCGGAAGUGUGAUAUUCUGAUAGUGAGGGUUUUACAAUCAACUCCAAUUUGUUCUAUGUCCACCAUUUAUGCAAACAUUAUCACAUAUGGUGGACUCCCCAACAGUAUCAGACCCUAAAUUGUUAUAGUUUUCUCACUCGCAUUGAUUAACCUGUGACAUAAUCUUUGGAUAAAAUCAAUACUACCUAACAAGAACAAACAUAAGUAAAAAAGUGAAAGCUAAUAGCUCAC